UAAGUUACUGUAAUAGUAAAAAAAAAAAAAAAAAUUCUCAAUCAUCUUAUUCAAGUUUUCAGUAAAUAGUUUUUGCUAUAUAUUUACAGCAAGGUCAAUUUUUUCUCCCUGAAUUUUCUUGCAUAUAAUUCAUUUGAAUGGAGUGGCUUCUAUGUCAUCUUUAAUCUUAUAAAUACAUCUUAUGUCCAAAUUAUAAGUCCUAGAAAGGAGUGACCUAUAAUGAAUUCUUAACCACAACUAUAUUGCUGAACAAAUACUAUUCUAUAAUGUGCAAACUGUUAAAUGUUUUCUUAUCAUACUAAAAGUGUGAAUUAAAUUAUAAUAUGAUGAAAAAGUAGCAGUUUGCAGUAAUUCCAAAUGUGGCAAAUCUUCAGUAGUGCAUAAAAUUAUUCAGUGAACUGUGGAAAACAUCAGAGCAAUUCUAGCCUUAAAGCUUUUCUUCCAACAACCAAAAAGUGCCAAAAACAAGCAAGCAUAGCUAAGCAUUUCAUCUUGGAAGCAGCUUAUUGAAUUAAUAAGACAAGUCAAUUAAUGUAAUGCUCUGUUGCUUCAGGAUAAAACAUGAAAAGGAAAAAUAUGGAGCUGUUUACUGUAGUGAGAUCAAGCAACCAUGAAGCCUGUAAAGCUAAAGUUGCUCAUUUCUCUAAAUCCUAAAGAAGUGAUCAGCAUAACCAUUGUAUAUGCUCUCUUUAUUCGUAAAUCAUCUGUGAGAUGUAGAUCUUCAGCUGUCCAGACACUAGUUUUGAUACCAAUUUGUUCCUCUUGUGAGUAUGUUUUUACCUCUAUAUUACACAAACGUGAAACUGAAUAGUCAGUGUCAUUCCCAUCAGUGCUGGAUGUUGGAUCAUGUUGAGUGGCUCACCUGUGUCUUUGGCAUCUUGCUGCUAACAGGUGAGAAGCGUUACCGCUGAGGCAAGGAGGGUAUUUUAGGUGGGUUUUACACUCAGUUCAGCCUGUGUGUUGUAGAGCAGUGCAAAAAAUCAAGAGCUGCAGGUGAAAACCUUCUGAAUUUCAGCAGAGCAGCCAGCUUUUCAAUCGUGGUGAGGUUCCGAUAAAUUGAAAGUUAAGGGAUGGCAAAUGUGGAACAAAAUUCUUAUUGGGAGAGCAUUCCAAGCUGGAAACUGUGGGGUACACAGACACAAGGUCUACAGAGGAAAAAUGGUGGGCCUCUGACUCUCAUUUCUAACAGUAUCAAGGACAGCCAUCUGACAAAGAAAGCAGAUGAGAAAUAACUGGAAGCAGAUUUUCCAAAUGUUCAACAGGUGAAUGCUGUUUAAAAUUACUGAUGUCUUUUCCACUCCCUAGUUACUCUGUGUAGUAUUUUCUCCUGCAGUAGUGAUGCUCACGUUCUUCAGAUGAAUGAAUACAAGUUCACUGUGUCUCCUGUUGGCUGCUUCAGGCACUUUCUGAUGUCAGGGAAUGUGUGCUUUCUCUGCUCCACAUCAACACUUACAUGAAAGUUAUUCUGUCAGCUGAGCAUUUCUGAAGAAUGGUGACCCUCCAAAAGCAGGACUUCUGGCGAUGCUUGGGUACUUACAACCCAAAUGUGUUGAGCAAAACCAGUUUCUUGCAUUUUCUCAUCGUUAGUCUGAUCAGAGUAGCUUCCGUUCAGGAGCAACAUGGAGAAACCAGGAUGGGACUGUGUCACUGUCCCUGUGGUAGCAGAUGUUGGACCAGGACUAACAGUGGUCUUCCAUGCAUCAGUAGUUUGCAAAUCUCAUUUGAAGAGAGGUGAGCAAGCUUUAUCCAGUUGACACUUGCAUGCUAUUGUCCACGCUUGGCUGCAGGCAUCCUGAUUCUGCUCCCUGUGUCCCAAUCUGAAAGCUGGGGUCUGCUGUCAGUGCAGUCACACUGAUGUGACCCUUAGAUGAACCAUCUGUGGUGCUGUUCUCAAUUCUUCUGCUGGCUCUACAAAUUGGUGUAACUUGGGCAGGUCUCAAGUCUUCUGAGGCUUGGUUCCCUAGCUGCUGAGCAGAGGAUUCAGUUGCUUUUCCUCAGUGGCAGAGUUUUAUAUAGUAUAAAUACCUGCAGUUAAGUGUUUUGACUGUGUAUUUCAGGCAAGAAACCAUAAAUAUGUGUCAGGACUAUCAUCUGAAUUCAAACUGGUGAACUAGAAAAAGUGUUGACAGCCUUAAACCAACUGCCCCGUUCUCCCUUUCUGUCUACC